GAUGAACGCUGGCGGCGUGCUUAACACAUGCAAGUCGAACGGAAAGGCCCAAGCUUGCUUGGGUGCUCGAGUGGCGAACGGGUGAGUAACACGUGGGUGAUCUGCUCUGCACUUUGGGAUAAGCUUGGGAAACUGGGUCUAAUACCGGAUAGGACCAUCGCUUAGGGUCGGUGGUGGAAAGCUUCUCGGUGUGCGCUGAGCAGGCGGCCUAUCAGCUUGUUGGUGGGGUAAUGGCCUACCACGGCGUCGGCGGGUAGCCGGCCGGAGAGGGUGUACGGCCACAUUGGGACUGAGAGGAGGCCCAGACGCGUACGGGAGGAAGCAGUGGGGAAUAUUGCACCAUGGGUGCAGGGCUGAUGAAGCGAGGCCGCGGGGGGGAUGGCGGCCUUGGUGUUGUAGACUACCUUCGGCAUGGACGAAGGGUGUUGUGACGGUACUUGGAGAAGAAGCACCGGCUAACUACGUG
rnacentral:rRNA from 1 species